rnacentral:tRNA from 1 species
GAAGCCCCGGCACCUUUUUGGGGUGCUGCUCCAAAUUUGCACUUUGGUGUGUGGUCACCCCAGGGCU